rnacentral:rRNA from 2 species
CCAGGCUGUCUCCACCCGAGACUCAGUGAAAUUGAACUCGCUGUGAAGAUGCAGUGUACCCGCGGCAAGACGGAAAGACCCCGUGAACCUUUACUAUAGCUUGACACUGAACAUUGAGCCUUGAUGUGUAGGAUAGGUGGGAGGCUUUGAAGUGUGGACGCCAGUCUGCAUGGAGCCGGCCUUGAAAUACCACCCUUUAAUGUUUGAUGUUCUAACGUGGACCCGUGAUCCGGGUUGCGGACAGUGUCUGGUGGGUAGUUUGACUGGGGCGGUCUCCUCCUAAAGAGUAACGGAGGAGCACGAAGGUUGGCUAAUCCUGGUCGGACAUCAGGAGGUUAGUGCAAUGGCAUAAGCCAGCUUGACUGCGAGCGUGACGGCGCGAGCAGGUGCGAAAGCAGGUCAUAGUGAUCCGGUGGUUCUGAAUGGAAGGGCCAUCGCUCAACGGAUAAAAGGUACUCCGGGGAUAACAGGCUGAUACCGCCCAAGAGUUCAUAUCGACGGCGGUGUUUGGCACCUCGAUGUCGGCUCAUCACAUCCUGGGGCUGAAGUAGGUCCCAAGGGUAUGGCUGUUCGCCAUUUAAAGUGGUACGCGAGCUGGGUUUAGAACGUCGUGAGACAGUUCGGUCCCUAUCUGCCGUGGGCGCUGGAGAACUGAGGGGGGCUGCUCCUAGUACGAGAGGACCGGAGUGGACGCAUCACUGGUGUUCGGGUUGUCAUGCCAAUGGCACUGCCCGGUAGCUAAAUGCGGAAGAGAUAAGUGCUGAAAGCAUCUAAGCACGAAACUUGCCCCGA